rnacentral:lncRNA from 1 species
GCUGACACCAUCUCUGGUCGACUAUUGACUGGCUGGAACCCACCCAGUCCCUGAAAGAAUACAGAAGCCAGAAGGAAGCCUUGGACGGAAAUAUAAUGGUGAAAGCAGAGGUAAACGCAAGAGCCAGCUCAUGAAUGGUAGAAGUCACUGUAUCAUCUGAUAUCGGACUCUGUCCAUCAGAGCAUCACUUUUUAGAGGAAUUCAGAGUUGACAGUUAAGUCUAGGGCAGAAUUACUCCGAGUUUCUAGGAAGAUGGUGCUAGGCAAUUCUCCACAAGAGAAGAACUUGAACCUUGAACUUCUGAUAUGAGGACUAAAAAUAACCUCCUUGUUUUUUCAACAGUUAAUACGUUUUAUCUAUCCCAUCUGCAUGGGUUUUCCCACUGAGGAUCACUAAAAUUUUAUUUGUAGCUUGCAAAUGCUUUAAAGAUAGAUCAUAUUACAAUGAUCUUUGUGCAAAUAGUAAGUGAUACAUGCUCAUAUAAUCCCUAAGUGGAGGAGUAAAGGCGUGUGGGACAGCCUCCUAAUUGUCCACCCAAAAAAGUUCUAUUUAUGGGGAAAUGGUAGGAAUAUCUGAUGGCCAAAAGCAGGAGUAAAUGGCCCAGGACUUUAUUCAAGUGUCAAAUAUCCAAACAAGGUGGACAGUGAUGGUCUCCAUGGCCCACCCCCCUCUCAGCCCACCCUGCCUCAGUCUCCUGAUGUUGCUACUCCUUUUCAUCCAGAUUUAGCUCCACUGCACAUGCCCUGGAAACAGGCCCCUUCUCUGUCAUCACUCCAGGUUAGCUCUGUCCCUCUAAAUGAGACCAAGAGAGACAAGGAUCCCUGUGUGAAAGGGACAGGAGCCACGAGGCAGGAGCCAGGGAGCCCAGUGCGG